rnacentral:rRNA from 1 species
AACGAACGCUGGCGGUAUGCCUAACACAUGCAAGUCGCACGAGAAAGUACUUCGGUAUGAGUAGAGUGGCGCACGGGUGAGUAACACGUAGGUGACCUUCCGAAUAGUGGGGGGAUAACUCGGAGAAAUCCGGGCUAAUACCGCAUAUGUACGACAAAUCUGAGAGUAGUCGUAGAAAGAAUGCCUCUACUUGUAAGCAUUCGCUAAUCGAUGGGCCUGCGGAGCAUUAGCUAGUUGGUGGGGUAAUGGCCUACCAAGGCUACGAUGCUUAACGGAUCUGAGAGGAUGAUCCGCCACACUGGGACUGAGACACGGCCCAGACUCCUACGGGAGGCAGCAGUGGGGAAUUUUGGACAAUGGGCGCAAGCCUGAUCCAGCCAUGCCGCGUGCGGGACGAAGGCCUU